GAAUGAUAUAAGAAAGAUCCAAAUUCCUGUAUCAUCACAAUUUACUAAAAUUACAAAACUAUAGCAACGAUUCCUCGCCAUCCAUUGAUUUUUCUUUAGUAAAUUCGUACAACUGACUACCACCUCAAAUCUUUUAUCAAGAAAUUCAAAAGCAGUAAUCUACAAAAACAACAAUUAUGUUUGAUAAAAAUCGCAUGAAAGGAAAGCAAGAAUCUUUCCAAGAAGAAGAAAAGAUCAAGUACCGCUACAAAAACCCUCUUAGGCUAUCAUCAUCAGAAAGCAGAUUCACAUACGGCGACGUUUCUAUAUCAUCCGCCACAAGAUCAUCCGUGCUCCUGAGCAGCGCGUGUAAAAUGACCAAAACGAUACCGAUUCCGACCGCAACCACUACAUUAAGCCAAACGCCACUCCAAACCAACACCAAAACCGUCACCGCAAAAAGCGCAACUAAAACCAGCAAAUCAUUAACCUGGUAACCGAAAACACUGAGGGGCUCCUCGCGAGAGAAGUAAAGAAAGACCCAAGCAACGAGCGUGAUAAAGAAGGCGAUUAGGGAGAGAGGAUGAUAAAGGAGACUCAAGAAGAGGACAAGCAAGACGAUGAUUGAGUAAUUAGCACGGAAAUGAGUGAGGUUCUGAGUUAAACGAGUAGUGGCGUCGGGGAUGGAGGAGGGGAGGUAGAGAGAGGUGAGGUCUAGAAAAAGUAACCAUGGACGAAGACUAGCUUUUAGGGAUUGGGAGGUUUGCUUGAAGCUCGCGAAGAAUUGGGGAGAAUUGGACAUUGUUCUCGUUACUGAAGAUGAAAAUUUUUCUGAUUCAAAGGAUUCUCAUUCGGCUUCAAACAAGAAAU
rnacentral:misc_RNA from 1 species